CCUACGGGUGGCUGCAGUGGGGAAUUUUGGACAAUGGGCGAAAGCCUGAUCCAGCCAUGCCGCGUGCGGGAAGAAGGCCUUCGGGUUGUAAACCGCUUUUGUCAGGAAAGAAAUCCUCUGGGCUAAUACCCCGGGGGGAUGACGGUACCUGAAGAAUAAGCACCGGCUAACUACGUGCCAGCAGCCGCGGUAAUACGUAGGGUGCAAGCGUUAAUCGGAAUUACUGGGCGUAAAGCGUGCGCAGGCGGUUGUGCAAGACAGAUGUGAAAUCCCCG
rnacentral:rRNA from 1 species